rnacentral:rRNA from 1 species
AGAUUGAACGCUGGCGGCAGGCCUAACACAUGCAAGUCGAGCGGUAGAGAGGUGCUUGCACCUCUUGAGAGCGGCGGACGGGUGAGUAAUGCCUAGGAAUCUGCCUAGUGGGUGGGGGAUAACGGUUCGGAAACGGACGCUAAUACCGCAUACGUCCUACGGGAGAAAGCGGGGGACCUUCGGGCCUCGCGCCAUUAGAUGAGCCUAGGUCGGAUUAGCUAGUUGGUGAGG